ACUGCUCAGUAACACGUGGAUAACCUGCCCUUGGGUCCGGCAUAACCCCGGGAAACUGGGGAUAAUUCCGGAUAACGCACAUAUGCUGGAAUGCUUUAUGCGUAAAAUGGAUUCGUCUGCCCAAGGAUGGGUCUGCGGCCUAUCAGGUAGUAGUGGGUGUAAUGUACCUACUAGCCAACAACGGGUACGGGUUGUGAGAGCAAGAGCCCGGAGAUGGAUUCUGAGACAUGAAUCCAGGCCCUACGGGGCGCAGCAGGCGCGAAAACUUUACAAUGCGGGAAACCGUGAUAAGGGGACACCGAGUGCCAGCAUCAUAUGCUGGCUGUCCAGGUGUGUAAAAUACACCUGUCAGCAAGGGCCGGGCAAGACCGGUGCCAGCCGCCGCGGUAACACCGGCGGCCCGAGUGGUGAUCGUGAUUAUUGGGUCUAAAGGGUCCGUAGCCGGUUUGGUCAGUCCUCCGGGAAAUCUGACGGCUCAACCGUUAGGCUUUCGGGGGAUACUGCCAGGCUUGGAACCGGGAGAGGUAAGAGGUACUACAGGGGUAGGAGUGAAAUCUUGUAAUCCCUGUGAGACCGCCUGUGGCGAAGGCGUCUUACCAGAACGGGUUCGACGGUGAGGGACGAAAGCUGGGGGCACGAACCGGAUUAGAUACCCGGGUAGUCCCAGCCGUAAACGAUGCUCGCUAGGUGUCAGGCAUGGCGCGACCGUGUCUGGUGCCGCAGGGAAGCCGUGAAGCGAGCCACCUGGGAAGUACGGCCGCAAGGCUGAAACUUAAAGGAAUUGGCGGGGGAGCAC
rnacentral:rRNA from 1 species